AGUUUAAAAAAAAUAAAAUCAGGGUUUGAGGCUCUUUUUUAUUUUAUUUUUUAAAGUAUUUGAGAUGUAACAUUACCCCAGAGAGUUUAAAAAGGACAACUAAGUGCAAAAUCACCCUUCCCCACGUAGUCUGCCCCAGAAGAGCUUUGAGUUUGAUUACUUUUUUUACGCUUUGAGAUGGGGACGGGGGGCGGCUGGUGGCUGUUUGGGGACAGAUUUAACAGCUGUCGGGAAAACUGUGACUCUUAUUCCAAACAGACGUGUGAGUGUGAGGGGGGAGGGGGUGGUGGGUGGUGGUGUCGGUGGUUAAAAUGUGGGUCUGUAUCUGCUCCAAUAAGGGACAGUUUGAUCGCCAGACAUACACAAACACACACAUGCACGCACACACACACACACACACACACACAGAGCUACGCUGUCUGCAAGGUUUCCAGAUUACAAUAAGAAAAAAAAAAAACAAAAAAAAAAAAAACAACAAGGGCCCUCUUGUCUUUUAAAAAAAUAAGUAAAAUAUACCUUCCCUGGCACCGCUAGACUCAGUGAACGGACACCAAAUGUUUAUCUGGAUUUAGACCUUGGAGGUGUUUUUAAAGUUUUUUUGUUGUGUAUUCCAGACAGAGAAGUCCGCACAGAAAGUUGUGUGUGUGUGUGUGUGUGUGUGUGUGUGUGUGUGUGUGUGUGUGUGUGCGCGCGCGCGCGCGCGUGCGAUUUGCAGGGGUGUGUGUGUCUGAUGUGCAGGGGUAUGUGUGUGUGUCUGAUGUUCAGGGGUGUGUGUGUGUCUGAUGUGCAGGGGUGGGUGUGUUUGAUGUUCAGGGGUGUGUGUGUGUCUGAUGUGCAGGGGUGUGUGUGUUUGAUGUUCAGGGGUGUGUAUGUGUCUGAUGUGCAGGGGUGUGUGUGUGUGUUUGAUGUUCAGGGGUGUGUAUGUGUCUGAUGUGCAGGGGUGUGUGUGUUUGAUGUUCAGGGGUGUGUAUGUGUCUGAUGUGCAGGGGGGUGUGUAUGUGUCUGAUGUGCAGGGGUGUGUGUGUGUGUCUGAUGUGCAGGGGUGUGUGUUUUCAGUGUGACGGCUUGUUGUGGGGAGGGUCCCUGGUUGGUUAAAGAUCCUCCAGUGAACAGGAUGGGUAUCUGGGGCUGAAAUCCGACUGCAGGCUGCUUGAUAGACCUCUGUACCGGGAACAAUGCUUUGUUUCCUUUGGGUCAGAUUUACGCUCUGGGAUUAGGGCUGUACCCCUGUGGUGGAGUGGUGUGUGAGGUCCGUUUUCUCGUUAGAGUUGCGUGUCCUAACUGGACCUCACUGGCGCUGAGUUGAGGCGUUGAGUGUUUGAGUCCAUUACUGUUACUGGGUGGACCGCGGUGUCACCUAGGCAACUGCAGUGUUAUUUAUAGAACUUUUGGGCAGGUUUUGUGAACCCUAAACAGACCAGUCUAAGGCCGAGAUGUAAAACUCCUGGUCACAGUAACACCAGUAUUGAAGACCAGCUGCUCUUAAAGUGCACAGAAAUUAUGAAAGAUGGUUUUUAUUUAAUGAUUUAUUGUUUCCUGUAUGCCUGUUGCAUUGUGAGAGGGGGGGGGGGGGGUGGACACUUUGAUUGACAGGCAGAGCCCCACAGUGUGCCCUGGGCCUUAUCCAGGACCCUCUUGCCUGCACUUCUCUACCGCCAGCAGGUGGUGCUGUAGCUCUGUGCUUUAACAUGAGGCCUACAUGAGGCCACAAACCGCAGCUGACAGUGUCUACCGAAACGUGCCCAGUCCCAUGUCCCAGGGGAGUCUCAGUACCCCAUCCUGACAGUCUCUACCCCCUACCCCAAGGGCUGAGAGCUAAAAUUGGGGAGGGAGAUGGAAGAAGGCCCAAGUUUCAAGAAUAUAUUCAUGUAAAGGACUGAAAGUUCCUCCAAACCGGCAAAUGAUGGAAAUAUUAUACUGCUCAGAGUGAAUGACAUGCACCCCCCACCCCCCACCCAAUGUACUGAAAAAAAGCUUACUUUACGAAAAGUGAAGUUUCUUCUGUUCUUUUAUACGGACAGGGAUGGCCACUGGUGGGGACUCCCUUAUACUGUAUUCCAAAUAAAGAUAAUAAAUAAAGAAUAUGCAUUAAAA